rnacentral:lncRNA from 1 species
CUUGGCUCCUCUUCUCACUAUCAGCAGAGAGCUGUUACUGAACAGUGAAAGGGGAAGGCUUCUUUGUCAAUCCCAUCAUAACUCUGUCCUUUUGGUCCUCCUGCAGAUGCUCCAGUGGCUUUGACCGCUAUCGCCAGGAGUGGAUGGACUAUGGCUGUGCACAGGAGGCAGAGGGCAGGAUGUGCGAGGACUUCCAGGAUGAGGACCACGACUCAGCCUCCCCUGACACUUCCUUCAGCCCCUAUGAUGGAGACCUCACCACUACCUCCUCCUCCCUCUUCAUCGACAGCCUCACCACAGAAGGCCUUCAGAACAACCUGUCCCCCAAGACAAAGGGCA